rnacentral:rRNA from 1 species
GGCGAUCGAAAAGAUUAAGCCAUGCAUGUAUAAGUUUAAUCGUUUAUCGAGAAACCGCGAACGGCUCAUUACAAUGGCCAUGAUUUACUUGAUCUUGAUUAUCUAAAUGGAUAACUGUGGAAAAGCUAGAGCUAAUACAUGCACUAGAGCUUUGUCCUUACGGAAAAGCGCAUUUAUUAGAACAAAACCACGCGGCUUCGGCUGCUUCUUGUUGACUCAGAAUAACUAAGCUGACCGCAUGGCCUUGUGCCGGCGGCGUGUCUUUCAAGCGUCCACUUUAUCAACUUGACGGGAGCAUAAUCGACUCCCGUGGUGGUGACGGAUAACGGAGGAUCAGGGUUCGACUCCGGAGAAGGGGCCUGAGAAAUGGCCACUACGUCUAAGGAUGGCAGCAGGCGCGCAAAUUACCCACUCUCGGCUCGAGGAGGUAGUGACGAGAAAUAACGAGACUGUUCUCUUUGAGGCCGGUCAUCGGAAUGGGUACAAUUUAAACCCUUUAACGAGUAUCAAGCAGAGGGCAAGUCUGGUGCCAGCAGCCGCGGUAAUUCCAGCUCUGCUAAUACAUAGAAUUAUUGCUGCGGUUAAAAAGCUCGUAGUUGGAUUCGUAUCGGUACCUUGGAACCCUUCGGGUGUCUCUAGGUGUUAUCGAUUUAUCGUAAUGUUCGGUUUUGAGUCCUUAACAGGAUUCUUAACAGGCAUUGCAAGUUUACUUUGAACAAAUCAGAGUGCUUCAAACAGGCGUUUUCGCUUGAAUGAUCGUGCAUGGAAUAAUAGAAAAUGAUUUCGGUUCAGUUUUAUUGGUUUUACGGACUGAGAUAAUGGUUAUCAGAGACAAACGGGGGCAUUUGUAUGGCCCCGUGAGAGGUGAAAUUCUUGGACCGUGGCCAGACAAACUACAGCGAAAGCAUUUGCCAAGAAUGUUUUUAUUAAUCAAGAACGAAAGUCAGAGGUUCGAAGGCGAUCAGAUACCGCCCUAGUUCUGACCGUAAACGAUGCCAACUAGCGAUCCGCCGAUGGAAAUUAUAUUGCCUUGGUGGGGAGCUUCCCGGAAACGAAAGUCUUCCGGUUCCGGGGGAAGUAUGGUUGCAAAGCUGAAACUUAAAGGAAUUGACGGAAGGGCACCACCAGGAGUGGAGCCUGCGGCUUAAUUUGACUCAACACGGGGAAGCUCACCCGGCCCGGACACUGUGAGGAUUGACAGAUUGAUAGCUUUUUCAUGAUUCAGUGGAUGGUGGUGCAUGGCCGUUCUUAGUUCGUGGAGUGAUUUGUCUGGUUUAUUCCGAUAACGAGCGAGACUCUAACCUACUAAAUAGUUGGUACAUACUCUUUGUGUAUACAGCUUCUUAGAGGGAUUUGCGGCGUUCAGCCGAAAGAAAUUGAGCAAUAACAGGUCUGUGAUGCCCUUAGAUGUCCGGGGCUGCACGCGCGCUACACUGGCAAAAUCAACGUGCUUGUCCUACCCCGAAAGGGGCGGGUAAACCAUUGAAAAUUUGCCGUGAUUGGGAUCGGAAAUUGCAAUUAUUUUCCGUGAACGAGGAAUUCCAAGUAAGUGCGAGUCAUCAGCUCGCGUUGAUUACGUCCCUGCCCUUUGUACACACCGCCCGUCGCUGCCCGGGACUGAGCCAUUUCGAGAAAUUUGGGGACCGUUGAUUUAAUUUUUCUAAAUUACUUUGAUGGAAAUCAAUUUAAUCGCAGUGGCUUGAACC